AGCCUUCUGUAUCUGUACUGAGAUUUCGUCAGAGAUCAACCUGUUGGCAUCGGCUGAUGGAACUUCUCAAAUAAGUGAAGCG
rnacentral:pre_miRNA from 1 species